CUCACUGACACACACUCACAGACGCAACACGCCACAGGCAGGCUACCAGACAGACUGGCAGACAGGUAGGCAGCAGUCAGGCAACAUGACCCAAACAGGGAACAGCCUCAGCUCUGUGACCUGUGACAACAGAUGCCAACCACAGAACUGAACACUGAAGUUUACUUUGAGAGCCUCAGGGGAGCUGGAGUAAGCAGAAAAUAAGACAAAUAACAAGACGGGAUGAGGAGUGCUUGACUGCUGUUGUUGAGGCUGAGGAGGAGGGAGUAUUUUACUAACUUUUUCUGCACUUUCUGAACCUGUGGAAUUCCAUUCAUGAGCCAGAAGACUAAAGCCAGCAUGGUAUUCAGCUGGCAGAAGUCCUUUGCCAUUCUGACCCCCUGGAGGAAAGGAAAGGGGGACAAUGUGCUGGAAAAUGAGGUUAUCCUGACCAAGAUGAAGCUCUUCAACAACUUCCAUGUGAAGCUCCUCAACAACGAUGUUGAUUCUUCAUCCACUAUCGCCAUGUCAGUUUCUGAGCAGGACAUCUCAGAGCCUGUCAAAGGCUUGGAGGGGAAUGCUGACUUGGAUAACAUGCCUGGACAGUCCCUGAUGGAGUCAAGCUCAGACUACCUGUCAAACAUUUUCUCAAACUCUCAGCUUUCCAGGCUGUACAAGUUUGAGUCAGAGGACUCUGGGGUGGAACUGCCCAGUGGAACCAACUCUCCCUCCACACCCACCGGCUCGGAGCAGAGCUUUGUGGUCCACAGCCGGGAACCCUCCUAUGACUCCUGUAACCUCAACACUCCUGUCCCUACCCCAGAACCACUCCUCACAUUUGACCAGUGCUCUGACACCAAACAAACAGAGGAUAUGAGAGACACACCAUGUAUGACUGCAGACAGUGCUGUGCAGGAGUGUGAUAUGGUGGAGUCGGGGGCUGAACUCAACACAGAAGUUGAGAGGGUAGACCUUCAUAUAACUGAGAAGGACAUAGACAUGGAGAGGGCCCAGCACACAGCCUUGAGGGACCCCACUGAGGACGGUAAAGGGGGUUCAGAGCAGCUGGGUGAAAACAAGGCUGUAACUGAGGGGGUCAACUCAGAGAACACAAAGCCCAGGAGACAGUGCUCUACAGGGGCCUGUGACGAUAUGACAGGGGUUGACUUUGAGCAGCGGCCUCUGAGGAAAGGCACGACAAGUGACAGCCUGGAGGAGUAUAUGGAGGAAUGCUGCAGACUGAGUGAGGUCCACCAAGCCAGCUCCAACCCUCUGGGCUCCGGACUGGGCUACCUGGAGCACAUCUGCCAGCUCAUCGAGAAGAUUGGUCAGCUCCAGGAGCACAACGUCAGGCUGCAGAAGCAGAUCUGUGGUCUGCAGAAGGAUGGAAAGAUGGCCAAGAACAAAGAGGACUUCUUCCUGCAGCACUGUAGCUGUGGAACGGCCGGCCUGGCCUUUCAGGAACAGAAAAGACACUCCAGGAGUGAGUUCCUGACCACAUCCAUGAGUGGCACCCUCUCUGACCUCUCCACCAUCCCUGAGGUCACACGUCACACAGGACUCACAGCCAUGAGAGAGAGUGACCAAGGUAAUAACCAGCCCCUGGUGCCCCUUUGUAGGAGGGGCCUGAAUCGGAGGAGCUACACAGAGGGAGAGACACGCUCCUCUCUCUUUGACAGUACAGAGGGUCUCUCUGCCCCACACAGACGGGUGAGUGAGAACUACACAUGGGGCAGAGUGAAGGAUCUGGUGAAGAAGACCAAGCUGAGAAACCAGACCAGACUGGGACAGACAUCCACCUCCCUGAAGAGAUCCUGUCCACAGCUCUACUGGUGAGGACCUCUCAAGAAACUCUAUACUCUAAAGUAUUUUCUAAAAAAUUCUGUAUUUCUUACUACAGUAUUUACAGUGCAGUAUUUCUUAAUAAACACACAAAGAAACAUUAUGAAUACCACAUUGGAAAUGUCCACAAAACAUAACAAUCAGGACUUGGCUUUUGUCUCAACUUGUCAGCCAUUUGAGAUUGUCUGUUCUAGCUGAAGAAACUAAAAAAAGGUCACUAAAGAUAACAGUUGGAGCUUGGUCCUUCAAAGUUGUGUGAACAUCUUGAACUGAUCAUGAUACAAGAACAGAGAGGUCAAGUUGUAAUUAAUCACAGCUCUCUUUAGUUUCAUCAUCAUUUGUGGGUGUGUGCACCAACUAACUUUUAAAUCCUUUAGUCUUUGUAGAAAGAGUAGUUCAAACUGUCAUUGGCAUUAGGUCAUAGGUUGUGUUUAUAGAAUGACUCAACUCCUGCUUUCUAGAAAGAAAAACACUGAAAAUACUGAAAAUGUCCGACCAACUGAUAUCAUCUUACCAUUUAGAGAUAAUUACUUAAAGCUACAAUAUGGGCAAAAUUGGCAUCGAACGUGAGGUAUACAGUACCAGUCAAAGGUUUAGACACACCUACUCAUUCCAGGGUUUCUUUAUUUUUACUAUUUUCUACAUUGUAGAAUAAUAGUGAAAACAUCAAAACUAUGAAAUACAUAACCAAAAUAAGUGCUAAACAAAUCAAAAUAUAUUUAUAUUUGAGAUUCUUCUAAGUAGCCACCCUUUGCCUUGAUGACAGCUUUGCACACUCUUGGCAUUCUCUCAACCAACUUCAUGAGGUAGUCACCUGAAAUGCAUUUUAACUAACAGGUGUGCCUUGUUAAAAGUAAACAUUUGGAAUUUCUUUCCUUUUUAAUCCGUUUGAGCCAAUCAGUUGUGUUGUGACAAGGUACGACGGUUGGUAUACAGGAGAUAGCCCUAUUUGGUAAAAGACCAAAUCCAUAUUAUUGCAAUAACAGCUCAAAUAAGCAAAGAGAAACGACAGUCCAUCGUUACUUUAAGACAUGAAGGUCAGUCAAUACGGAAAAUUUAAAGGAGUUUGAAAGUUUCUUCAAGUGCCGUCGCAAAAAAACAUCAAGCACGGUGAUGAAACUGGCUCUUAUGAGGACCGCCACAGGAAAGGAAGACCAAGAGUUACCUGCAGAGGAUAAGUUCAUUAGAGUUGCCAGCCUCAGAAAUUGCAGCCCAAAUAAAUGCUUCACAGAGUUCAGGUAACAGACACAUCUCAACAUCAACUGUUCAGAGGAGACUGUGUGAAUCAGGCCUUCAUGGUCGAAGAAAAGCAUUCCAGGUGAAGCUGGUUGAGAGAAUUCCAAGCGUGUGGAAAGCUGUCAUCAAGGCAGAGGGUGGAUACUCAAAUGAUAAAAUAUAUUUUGAUUUGUUUAACACUUUUUUGGGUUACUAUAUGAUUCCAUAUGUGUUAUUUCAUAGUUUUGAUGUCUUCACUAUUAUUCUACAAUGUAGAAAAUAGUACAAAUAAAGAAAAACCCUGGAAUGAGUAGGCAUGCCCAAACUUUUGACUGGUACUGUAUAUCUGUCAUUCUCAUUGAAAGCAAGUCUAUGAAGUUGUAUAUCUGUUCUGUGUGUGCUAUUUCUAUGCUGCCCGUUUUUAAGUUUCGUUUUUGCGUCUUUUACUUUCGUUUUUGUACAAAAUACAAUAUUUUUGCUUAUGGAAAAUAUAUUUCACCACUGUUUCGAUGGUACAACAAUUCUCUAAACUAUAAUUGUUUGUUUUGUCACAUAAAUGGAAAUUAGGCAAACUAUUAGAAUUUUAGCAACCAGGAAAAGCAACCUGGUCUCAGAGCAUUUCGUAUUAUUCUGUAAGUAAAUCCAUGUUUGGUAUGGUUACAUAAGACAGAUGGUUACUUAAGGCAAUGAAUGAAAGGAGGGUGGUUUUACGGGGUGGAUAGGUUGUCAUAUAAUUUGAAUGUCUUUUUAGCUACUUUGCAACUACUUAACAUGUUAGUUAUAUCUUCCCGUAACCCUAACCCUUUAAAAGAACUCUGACCCCUAGCCUAGCUAAUGUUAGACUCCUACCCACCUAGGUAGAUUUCGUAACAUAUCAAAAGUUUAGCAAAUUCGUAACCUAUUGUACAUUUUGCAAAACUAACAGAAAUUGUAAUUUGCAAUAUUUCAUACGAAAUGGGUGAUGGACAGCCACAAAUUAAUACAUACUAUACGAAACGUAGCAUAUCGUACUAAAUGGAGUGUCUCGGAUUUACGUAGAGAAUAAUGCGAAAUGCUCUGAGACCAGGUUGGGAAAUGGUGGAGCGAUUUCAGCAUAGAGCAUCUUUAAAUAAAAUUACUUUAAUAUGGCUAUUUAAAUCAGAUAAAUACCAAUGUGGCUCCAACCUACCUCAUUUGUUGAACAAAACACAAUGUACUACAACACUAAUGAGUUCUACAUAAUGUCAUCAUGUAGUCCUAUUAAAAUAAUAAUGUGGCGCAGUGGUCUACUCUGGGUUUGAGCCCAGGCUCUGUCGCAGCCGGCCGCAAACCGAGAGGUCCAUGGGGCGACGCACAAUUGGCCUAUCGUCAUCCGGGUUAGGGAGGGUUUGGCCGGUAGGGAUAUCCUUGUAUCAUCGCGCACUAGCGACUCCUGUGGCGGGCGCAGUGCACGCUGACCAGGUCGCUAAGUGUACGGUGUUUCCUAAGACACAUUGGUGCGGCUGGCUUCCGGGUUGGAUGCGCACUGUGUUAAGAAGCAGUGCGGCUUGGUUGGGUUGUGUUUCGGAGGACGCAUGACUUUCGACCUUCGUAUCUCCCGAGCCCGUAUGGGAGUUGUAGCGAUGAGACAAGACAGUAACUACUAACAAUUGGAUACCAUGAAAUUGGGGAGAAAAAGGGGGUAAAAAAAUACAUUAAAAUAAUAAUGUACUCAUUCUCUAACUGUAUCAUACUGAAUUCAUGUGUCAGCUUUUUUUUUUUAAACACACAGGAAUCUACGUCAACAUAAUGGGAGUAGAUAUUUAAAAAAAGAUGUGGAUAUUUUGGGUUAGAAAAUGUUGGAAGCACCAAAACUAUAUGACAGGUUCUUGGCAAAUCAUUCCAGAUAUAUUUUUUAUUAAUGCGAGUCAGUGGAAGAAUUGUGGUAUUCUGUUGUUUGAAGGUUGUAGAACAUAGGAAUUUGGUGGGAGUUGCAGGGCUUGAGGAAAGAACAGCUAUUUCUUUGGCCCUUCAACCUAUUCCACAUGCUGGAUGGGGCACUCCUCAGACAGAGGGUGGGAGCUUGGCACGGACACAGACGAUUAGCGGAGGGGUUGCCGUGUCAGGUUUGAGGUAUGCUGGGAGGAGUUGGAGAAUUCCCAAUGUAUUUCACAGUGGUCCAAUGAGAUAUAGAGAUGCUAUGCAUAAUUUAUCUAAAGGGAGACCCUCUCUUAGAAAUAAAUGCAUGUGGAAAAAAACAUCCUGGUCUCAAGCAUUCUGCAUAGCUCAUUGUAACAGCAUUGGCGCACACCAAUAACAAUGCCCAAUUUCCAUACAGCCCUGACCUGGGACAAGUGGAACUGCCAGGAAGAAACAGAAACUCCAUGGUCGCCUUGGGCCAUUAGAACAAACUGGACUUCCAGUGGCCCCAAUAACAAAGAAGAUACGAAACAGAUGGCCCAAAGUGGGAAGAGACAGCCCUGAAGAGGAGGACAAAGUGAAGUUGAACAGAUUCUUGACUGGACUGGGAUAUGAUGAGUGUGAAAGGAAGGAUGAGAGAAAGAACACUUGUGAUGGAUGACAAAAUUUGAGUGAGGAGUGAAAAGAAAACAAAAAGAUGGAUGGUCAUAGACAUCUCUCUCUCUCUUGCGAUACAAUUCUAAAAUAAGGGAUUUUAUUGUUUCAAAUAAGGGAACAUUGGUAUGUAUGAGAAUAGAGAUGCAUUUACUCCACAACGUACAUGAAAACGAUAUAAAUUAUUUAAUCUUGUACUAUACUCGUUUUCUAUACAAUUCAUAUGGUAGCUUAAUGUCUUCUCUAAAUGUAUUUUAUACAUUCAGGCUGACAUUUCAAUACUGUGUGUUGAUGGAGCAAACAAUAACUCUUUGAUAUGGUCGUUUCAUCAAAGAAAUAGACAAUAUUCUGGGGUGGAAAUAAAGACUUGGAUUAUCAUUGACAGUGAUUAGAUAGAGUACAUUAGAAAAGGCUGCUUGUUGAAUCUUGCUUUCGUCUAUGGUAAAGUCUGCUCCCAAUUGAACAUGGCUGCUGCAUAAUAACAUUAUUUACAAAUGUCUCGUGAUCCAUUAUGUGAGAGAGAAGUCUACAGUAAGACAAGUCAUGCUCCCAUGAACAAAUGUGAAACAUACACAUAUCGUACACAUAUCGUACAUAUUUCAGAAUUGUACUUGCAGAAUCUAUACAACAUAUUUAGUGUGAUUUAUCUUCUUGUUUUGAGUGUAGGCCUAUAUAGGCUAGGUGUUUGCAAUAUGGACCAUACAUGGAUGACAGAUUGUGGUAUAUAUGUUGUGUGAUUGUGCUGUACAUAACACAUGUUCAUGUAGUGUGUGUACAGACAGUAUGAUUGUACAGGAAGGGAGUUAUGUCUGUAAAUUCCUAUGUCUAUAUGAUGUAAAGUUAUCAUUAUUGGAGAGAGAGGUUCAAGAUCCCUAAAGAUAAAAUACAUUUAAAAAAACUGCUGUCAGAUGUUACGAUGACAUUUCCCUAAGGUAUUUUAAUGUUCCUGUCAAACAUUUGUUAAAAAAACAGUCAAUAUAUAUAUAUUUUUGAUAUAAAUUGAUAUGACUACAAGAUGUGAUUUACUAGAGUCUGCUGUUGCUUGUUCAUCUUCAAGAUAUAUAUUGUUUUUGGUCGGGAUAUAUAUUGUUUUUGGUCUGGUUUGACUAGCUAACAGUGAUUUAGCUUUUCUACACCACUGUUACAUCACUAUGAGGUUAUUUGAUAACAGACAGGCGAAACAAGUGCCACAGGGCUUUGGAAAUCUCACUGGGCAACUAGAGAAGGUAAGUUUCACACAAAAACUUUGGAAAGGAUUAUUAAAUUGGCUUUAAAGCCUUGACACCUACCUGAAAAACAGCAGCAGCUAAUUUCAACUGCUCAAAACUGUCCAUUGUGUAAAUGACAGGAAUGGAGUUAAUCCAAUUUUACAAGACACUAAUCCCACAGAAAGAACGCAAACAAUAGUUAGUUAUCCAGUAUGUACUUCAGCAACGUGAACUAGAGUGUAGUACAACACUAAUGAGUUCUACAUAAUGUCAUCAUGUAGUCCUAUUAAAAUAAUAAUGUACUCAUUCUCUAACUGUAUCAUACUGAAUUCAUGUACCUCUAAAUACUCUAAUCAAGUAGAAUAUAAAUGUGUUGCAACUGAGAGGCAGUAAAGGCUGUCAAUAUGUAUGAUACAUUUGUCGGGCUGGUAACUAAAGACAAAAGAUAGUGAUAUCUGUAUAUUGUAUAUUGUACAAUUUACUGCAAUGGAUGAAAAAUCUCAAUAUGCAUAUUGCAUCAUUAUUCAAAGUUAUUUUUCAAAAUAAAGUUGACAUUUCCUAAGACAUG
ensembl:lncRNA